rnacentral:rRNA from 1 species
UACGUAGGUGGCAAGCGUUAUCCGGAUUUACUGGGUGUAAAGGGCGCGUAGGCGGCGCGUUAAGUCUGAUGUGAAAACCCGAGGCUCAACCACGGGAGUGCAUUGGAAACUGGCGUGCUGGAGUGCCGGAGAGGUAAGCGGAAUUCCUAGUGUAGCGGUGAAAUGCGUAGAUAUAUGGAAGAACACCAGUGGCGAAAGCGGCUCUCUGGUCUGUAACUGACGCUGAGGUUCGAAAGCGUGGGUAGCAAACAGG